rnacentral:rRNA from 1 species
UGGAAGCAGCUAUUCAUUCAAAGAGUGCGUAACAGCUCACUGGUCGAGCGGAGCCGCGUGGAUGAUGAUCGGGCAUCAAGACCGUCGCCGAAGCCGAGGACGACGCGCCUUAGCGCGCGCCGUGGUAGGGGAGCAUUCCGGUCGGCGCCGAAGGCGCGGCGCGAGCCGUGCUGGAGCGUCCGGAAAAGAAAAUGUAGGCAUGAGUAACGACAAGAGAUGUGUGAACAUCUCCGCCGAAAACCCAAGGUUUCCGGGGCCACGCUAAACGGCCCCGGGUCAGCCGGGAGCUAAGGGUAAGCCGAACGGUGAUCCCGAUGCCGAUGCGGUCAACAUUCCGCAGCCGGCGCGCCAGGCGCACACGUGACCGAGGAGUGACACUGCCGCGGGGAGACGGAAUUCCCCGUUGAAGGCCGUAGGGAGACCGAAAGCCGACAGUACGGCGAGCCUUCGGGCGAGCCGACAGAGCAGGUAACCAUACUCGCGAGAAAAGCGUGUGCGCGCCAAGCGUCGCGCCGCCCGUACCGUAAACCGACACAGGUGGGUGGGGAGAGAAUCCUGAGGCGCUCGAGUGAAUCACGGCCAAGGAACUAGGCAAAUUGACCCCGUAACUUCGGGAUAAGGGGUCCCGCGGCGACGCGGGCGCAGAGAAAUGGCCCAGGCGACUGUUUACCAAAAACAUAUGGCUAUGCGAAAUCGAUAAGAUGACGAAUAUGGCCUGACACCUGCCCGGUGCCGGAAGGUUAAGAGGGGGGGUCACCGAAAGGGAAGCCCUGAAUUGAAGCCCCGGUAAACGGCGGCCGUAACUAUAACGGUCCUAAGGUAGCGAAAUUCCUUGUCGGGUAAGUUCCGACCUGCACGAAUGGUGUAACGAUCUGGGCGCUGUCUCAGCCGUGAGCUCGGUGAAAUUGUAGUGGCGGUGAAGAUGCCGCCUACCCGCAACGGGACGAAAAGACCCCGUGAACCUUUACUAUAGCUUAGCGCUGAUCUUGGACGUCGGAUGUGUAGCAUAGGUGGGAGGCUUCGAGGCGCGGCCGCCAGGUCGCGAUUAGCCGCCAGGUGAAAUACCACCCUUCCGUCGUCUGGGGUCUAACUUCGCGAGAAGGACACCGCUUGGUGGGUAGUUUGACUGGGGUGGUCGCCUCCAAAAGAGUAACGGAGGCUUCCCAAGGUCCGCUCAGGACGAAUGGCAACCGUCCGCAGAGUGCAGUGGCAGAAGCGGGCUUGACUGGGAGACAAACAGGUCGAGCAGGUACGAAAGUAGGGCAAAGUGAUCCGGCGGUUCCUCAUGGGAGGGCCGUCGCUCAUAGGACAAAAGGUACUCCGGGGAUAACAGGCUGAUCGCUCCCAAGAG